ACAGCAGCAGCCACGGUAAGACAGAGGAUGCAAGCGUUAUCCGAAAUGAUUGGGCGUAAAGCGUCUAUAGGUGGCUUUUCAAGUCCGCCAUCAAAUCCUAGGGCUCAAACCUGGACAGGCGGUGGAAACUAUCAAGCUAGAGUACGGUAGGGGCAGAAGGAAUUUCCAGUGGAGCGGCGAAAUGAGUUGAGAUCAGAAAGAACACCAACAACGAAAGCACUCUGCUAGGCCGACACUAACACUGAGAGACGAAAGCUAGGGGAGCAAAUGGGAUUAGAUACCCGAGUAGUCCCUGUCUCUUAUAA
rnacentral:rRNA from 1 species